rnacentral:misc_RNA from 1 species
GAAAUGCGAUAAGUAAUGUGAAUUGCAGAAUUCAGUGAAUCAUCGAAUCUUUGAACGCACAUUGCGCCCGCCAGCACUCUGGCGGGCAUGCCUGUUCGAGCGUCAUUUCAACCAUCAAGCCCCCGGGCUUGCGUUGGGGACCUGCGGCUGCCCGCAGGCCCUGAAAACCAGUUGCGGACUCGCUGUCACCCCGGUCGUAGUAGUAUCAGCUCCUCCAAGGCCUGGCUGCGGACUCCGGCCGUUAAGCCUUCUCAAACCCAAACGUUGACCUCGAAUCAGGUAGGAAUACCCGCUGAACUUAA